GCAGAGCACGGUGGUGCAUGCCUGUUGUACCAGCUACUUGAGAGGCUGAGGCAAGAGGAUCUCUUGUGUCCAGGAGAUCUGGACUGUAGUGCAGUAUGCCAGAUAGGUGUUUGCCCUAAGUUUGGCAUCAAUAUGUGUCCACCCAGGAGUGGACCAAAUUUCCCAAGGAGGGGUGAAUCAGCCCGGAUUGGAAAUGGAGCAGGUCAAAACUCCUGUGCUGAUCAGCAGUGGGAUCACUCCUGUGAGUAGCCAUUGAACUCUAGUCUGGGCACCACAGCAAGAGUCCCACGUCUUAU
ensembl:misc_RNA Metazoa_SRP Metazoan signal recognition particle RNA